rnacentral:lncRNA from 1 species
UAUGGGGCCUAUUAUGACUGCACAAGGGGCCUCAAGUUCAUUCAGGCCAAGCCUCUCAUUCUGCAGAGAACCACACAGUGGUUGCCGGGAUUUGCCCAAGGCUGGUGGGUUGGUCAUGAGGGCAGGCCCGAACUCAUCUCUAUUUUCUUGCAUUCCGGCUCUCCUGAUGUUCCAGGCCCAUCUCUGAGUCAUCCUUGGACAGGAGAGAUCCCAGAGGGCUCUGCAGUCCCAGGGAUUCGCAGUGUUAGUUGAUCUCCGGGGACACUAGUUCCCAAGAGACCCCACUGAAGGCCUGGCUGUACCAUCAUAGGCUGUGUGCCCUUGGGCAAGAACCUCUACCAUUCCUCGUUGCCUGUAUAUAAAUUGAAGGCUUUGCUCUAGACAGCGCUGGGGAGAAUGAACGCCUGAGUACUCAUGUCUUUAUGCACUGUAGUAUUAUUUCCUUACAACAGACUCCUGAACCUGGAACGGCAGUGUCAAAGGGUUCACAAAAUGUUAGACUUCUGAAGCAAAUCAGAUGGCACCUUUUUUGAAUAAUGAAGAAUCUUUACCCCUGGCAUGAGGAGCUGAGGACAACUCCCACUCCACGAUGUGAAGCCACAGAGUUUCGAGGCCCCAGGACCUCCAGCGUCAAUGUUGUGGGAUGAUGGGUGACAGAGCCAAAGCAUCGCCAUCUUGGACAAGCACGGUCAUUCUGAAGUUCCCCUUGAUCAAAAACUGCCUAAACCCAAAGGAUAUCAGCCUGAUGGCUAAGGUCAGCAUGACCAUAAACCAUAAAUAACAUCUCUGACCAGGAACAUUCCAAACCCCUCCAUGAGACAUGCCAGCCCUGAGAUAACCUCCCCUCCGGCCAGAAAGAUGUCAGACCCAAGAUAACCUCCCCUCCGACCAGAGACAUCCCAACCCUGCCAUAAACUUCUCCCCCACACAGAAACAUUCUGAGCUUGUAAUAAGCCCCCUCAUCCUAAAACCAAUAUAUACUCUUAGUCCGUAAGAGAAAGUGCUCCUGAACAAAAUUGGCCAGAAGCCCCUCUCCGGCUUAUUUUCUCUAAAAUACAUCUGUCGUUAAAUUGAGCCACA